rnacentral:rRNA from 1 species
UACGUAGGGUGCGAGCGUUGUCCGGAAUUACUGGGCGUAAAGCGUGCGCAGGCGGUGAUGUAAGACAGAUGUGAAAUCCCCGGGCUCAACCUGGGAACUGCAUUUGUGACUGCAUCGCUGGAGUGCGGCAGAGGGGGAUGGAAUUCCGCGUGUAGCAGUGAAAUGCGUAGAUAUGCGGAGGAACACCGAUGGCGAAGGCAAUCCCCUGGGCCUGCACUGACGCUCAUGCACGAAAGCGUGGGGAGCAAACAG